AUGUUUACCAAUCACAGAUGCUUGAUUUUAAAUAUUCAUCAACAUGAAGAACAUACAUUAUAAAUGAUCUCCAAGAGAGAUUAGGAUGAAAAGCUAGUGAUAUGUGAUAUAAUACUCUUUUGUGACGUUGGACCAUGGCAGUGAGCCGCAGCUCCCAGUCAGCAAUGCGAUCCCAAGAAUAAACAACCGAUUCUUGACAGUGUCCUAUGUUGCCAGUCGAUUUUGUUCAACAGUAGGUACAUAGAAAAGGUAGCUUGGGGAACAAAAAAAGAUUUCUAGAAGGAAAGAACCACAUGUUCAAAUUCAUGCAAGAAUGAAAUAUCUCUGCUAUCCACAUGAUUUGCUCUUGCAUGCUACAGUUCGCUUUUGACUCUAUUUAGUGAUGUACUUAUUUUCAUCUGAAUUCACUGUGGUCCAGUCCAAACUCGUUGGCUACUUUAAAUAGUGGAAGUCUGGUGCAAGAUGCUCUACCCAUAGAGGCAAGUACACCCCACUCCCAAAUUAAAAAGAUUGACCUUAGCCAAACAUAACACGAUCCCAAAGAUGGACGGAGCAGAAUGGCCAUUAUUAAAAAGUAAACAAAAAUAAUAAAUAACAAAUGUUGUUGAGGAAAUGGAAAAAGCGGAAAGCUUAUACACUGUUGGCGCAGCCUCUAUGGAAGACAGUAUGAAAUUUUUUCAAAGAACUAAAAAUAAAACUACCAUUUGACCCAGCAAUCUGACUACUGGAUAUCUAUCCAAAGGAAAUAAAUCAUUAUAUGAAAAAUAC
rnacentral:lncRNA from 10 species